UACGGAGGAUGCGAGCGUUAUCCGGAUUUAUUGGGUUUAAAGGGUGCGCAGGCGGAAGAUCAAGUCAGCGGUAAAAUUGAGGGGCUCAACCUCUUCGAGCCGUUGAAACUGGUUUUCUUGAGUGAGCGAGAAGUAUGCGGAAUGCGUGGUGUAGCGGUGAAAUGCAUAGAUAUCACGCAGAACUCCGAUUGCGAAGGCAGCAUACCGGCGCUCAACUGACGCUCAUGCACGAAAGUGUGGGUAUCGAACGGG
rnacentral:rRNA from 1 species